rnacentral:rRNA from 1 species
CACGUAGGGUGCGAGCGUUGUCCGGAAUUAUUGGGCGUAAAGAGCUCGUAGGCGGUGUGUCGCGUCGGCCGUGAAAACCUGCAGCUUAACUGUGGGCUUGCGGUCGAUACGGGCAUCACUGGAGUUCGGCAGGGGAGACUGGAAUUCCUGGUGUAGCGGUGAAAUGCGCAGAUAUCAGGAGGAACACCGGUGGCGAAGGCGGGUCUCUGGGCCGAUACUGACGCUGAGAAGCGAAAGCAUGGGGAGCGAACAGG